GCGGAAAGGCCACUUCGGUGGUACUCGAGCGGCGAACGGGUGAGUAACACGUGAGUAAUCUGCCCUUCACUUGGGGAUAACCUCCGGAAACGGUGAUUAAUACCGGAUACGACACAUCACUGCAUGGUGCGUGUGUGGAAAGUUUUUUCGGCCAGGGAUGUGCUCGCGGCCUAUCAGCUUGUUGGUGGGGUAAUGGCCUACCAAGGCUUCGACGGGUAGCCGGCCUGAGAGGGUGACCGGCCACACUGGGACUGAGACACGGCCCAGACUCCUACGGGAGGCAGCAGUGGGGAAUAUUGGACAAUGGGCGGAAGCCUGAUCCAGCAACGCCGCGUGAGGGAUGACGGCCUUCGGGUUGUAAACCUCUUUCAGCACAGACGAAGCGCAAGUGACGGUAUGUGCAGAAGAAGGACCGGCCAACUACGUGCCAGCAGCCGCGGUAAUACGUAGGGUCCGAGCGUUGUCCGGAAUUAUUGGGCGUAAAGGGCUCGUAGGCGGUUUGUCGCGUCGGGAGUGAAAACACCGGGCUUAACUCGGUGCUUGCUUUCGAUACGGGCAGACUAGAGGUAUGCAGGGGAGAACGGAAUUCCUGGUGUAGCGGUGAAAUGCGCAGAUAUC
rnacentral:rRNA from 1 species